rnacentral:rRNA from 1 species
AGAGCGAACGCUGGCGGCAGGCUUAACACAUGCAAGUCGAGCGGGCGUAGCAAUACGUCAGCGGCAGACGGGUGAGUAACGCGUGGGAACGUACCUUUUGGUUCGGAACAACACAGGGAAACUUGUGCUAAUACCGGAUAAGCCCUUACGGGGAAAGAUUUAUCGCCAAAAGAUCGGCCCGCGUCUGAUUAGCUAGUUGGUGAGGUAACGGCUCACCAAGGCGACGAUCAGUAGCUGGUCUGAGAGGAUGAUCAGCCACAUUGGGACUGAGACACGGCCCAAACUCCUACGGGAGGCAGCAGUGGGGAAUAUUGGACAAUGGGCGCAAGCCUGAUCCAGCCAUGCCGCGUGAGUGAUGAAGGCCCUAGGGUUGUAAAGCUCUUUUGUGCGGGAAGAUAAUGACGGUACCGCAAGAAUAACGCCCCGGACUAACUUCGUGCCAGCGACGCCGC